CUGAGUUGCAAGACUCCCAAACCCACUGUGAACCAUUACAACGAACCGUUGCCUCGGCGGGACCGCCCCGGAUCGCCCCGGAUCAGUGCCCCCGCCGGCACCCAGAAACCCAUAUCUCUGUACGUCGUGGUCAGCAACUGGCGCGAGAGCGCAUGAACAAAAUCAAUCAAUCA
rnacentral:misc_RNA from 1 species